GCGACUAUAGCUCAAUGGUAGAGCAUCGGGUUGUGGUCCCGGUGACGAGAGUUCGAUCCUCUCUAGUCGCC
rfam:Parcubacteria group bacterium CG1_02_41_12 cg1_0.2_scaffold_2246_c, whole genome shotgun sequence.